UGGGGAAUUUUGGACAAUGGGGGCAACCCUGAUCCAGCCAUCCCGCGUGUGCGAUGAAGGCCUUCGGGUUGUAAAGCACUUUUGGCAGGGAAGAAACAGCCUGGGAUAAUACCCCGGGCGACUGACGGUACCUGCAGAAUAAGCACCGGCUAACUACGUGCCAGCAGCCGCGGUAAUACGUAGGGUGCAAGCGUUAAUCGGAAUUACUGGGCGUAAAGCGUGCGCAGGCGGUUCGGAAAGAAAGGUGUGAAAUCCAGGGCUUAACCUUGGAACUGCACUUUUAACUACCGAGCUAGAGUACGUCAGAGGGGGGUAGAAUUCCACGUGUAGCAGUGAAAUGCGUAGAGAUGUGGAGGAAUACCGAUGGCGAAGGCAGCCCCUGGGAUGAUACUGACGCUCAUGCACGAAAGCGUGGGGAGCAAACAGGAUUAGAUACCCUGGUAGUCCACGCCCUAAACGAUGUCAACUAGCUGUUGGGGUUUAUUAACCUUAGUAGCGCAGCUAACGCGUGAAGUUGACCGCCUGGGGAGUACGG
rnacentral:rRNA from 1 species